GACGAACGCUGGCGGCGUGCUUAACACAUGCAAGUCGAGCGGAAAGGCCCUUCGGGGUACUCGAGCGGCGAACGGGUGAGUAACACGUGAGUAACCUGCCCCAGACUUUGGGAUAACCCUCGGAAACGGGGGCUAAUACCGGAUACGACACAGCUUCGCAUGGGGUCUGUGUGGAAAGUUUUUCGGUUUGGGAUGGGCUCGCGGCCUAUCAGCUUGUUGGUGGGGUGAUGGCCUACCAAGGCGACGACGGGUAGCCGGCCUGAGAGGGCGACCGGCCACACUGGGACUGAGACACGGCCCAGACUCCUACGGGAGGCAGCAGUGGGGAAUAUUGCACAAUGGGCGGAAGCCUGAUGCAGCGACGCCGAGUGAGGGAUGACGGCCUUCGGGUUGUAAACCUCUUUCAGCAGGGACGAAGCGUAAGUGACGGUACCUGCAGAAGAAGCGCCGGCCAACUACGUG
rnacentral:rRNA from 1 species